GUUAGGAAUAUUUGACAAUGGGCGAAAGCCUGAUCCAGCCAUGCCGCGUGAACGAUGAAGGCCUUCGGGUUGUAAAGUUCUUUAGCCGAUGAUUAUAAUGACUGUAGUCGGAAAAUAAGCCCCGGCUAACUUCGUGCCAGCAGCCGCGGUAAUACGAAGGGGGCGAGCGUUAUUCGGAAUCACUGGGCGUAAAGCGUGCGUAGGCGGUUUUGUAAGUUAGGAGUGAAAGCCCAGGGCUCAACCUUGGAAUUGCUCUUAAAACUGCAAGGCUCGAAUCUCGGAGAGGAUAGCGGAAUUUCCAGUGUAGCAGUGAAAUGCGUAGAUAUUGGAAGGAACACCAGUGGCGUAAGCGGCUAUCUGGAAGAGUAUUGACGCUGAGGCACGAAAGCGUGGGGAUCAAACAGGAUUAGAAACCCCAGUAGUCC
rnacentral:rRNA from 1 species